rnacentral:rRNA from 1 species
CCUACGGGAGGCAGCAGUGGGGAAUAUUGGGCAAUGGGCGCAAGCCUGCCCCCGCAACGCCGCGUGAAGGAAGAGGGCUUUCGGGUUGUAAACUUCUUUUGUACGGGAAGAGUAGAAGACGGUAACUGAAGAAUUAGCCACGGCUAACUACGUGCCAGCAGCCGCGGUAAUACGUAGGUGGCAAGCGUUGUCCGGAUUUACUGGGGGUAACGGGCGUGUAGCCGGGUUGACAAGUCAGAUGUGAAAUCCUGCGGCUUAACCGAAGAACUGCAUGUGAAACUGUUGAUCUUGAGUACUGGAGAGGCAGAUGGAAUGCCUAGUGUAGCGGUGAAAUGCGUAGAUAUUAGGAGGAACACCAGUGGCGAAGGCGGUCUGCUAGACAGCAACUGACGGUGAGGCGCGAAAGCGUGGGGAGCAAACAGGAUUAGAUACCCUGGUAGUC